rnacentral:rRNA from 1 species
ACGGCAGCGCGGGGCAACCUGGCGGCGAGUGGCGAACGGGUGAGUAAUAUAUCGGAACGUACCCUGGAGUGGGGGAUAACGUAGCGAAAGUUACGCUAAUACCGCAUACGAUCUAAGGAUGAAAGUGGGGGAUCGCAAGACCUCAUGCUCCUGGAGCGGCCGAUAUCUGAUUAGCUAGUUGGUAGGGUAAAAGCCUACCAAGGCUUCGAUCAGUAGCUGGUCUGAGAGGACGACCAGCCACACUGGAACUGAGACACGGUCCAGACUCCUACGGGAGGCAGCAGUGGGGAAUUUUGGACAAUGGGCGCAAGCCUGAUCCAGCAAUGCCGCGUGAGUGAAGAAGGCCUUCGGGUUGUAAAGCUCUUUUGUCAGGGAAGAAACGGUGAAGGCUAAUAUCUUUUGCUAAUGACGGUACCUGAAGAAUAAGCACCGGCUAACUACGUGCCAGCAGCCGCGGUAAUACGUAGGGUGCAAGCGUUAAUCGGAAUUACUGGGCGUAAAGCGUGCGCAGGCGGUUUUGUAAGUUUGUCGUGAAAGCCCCGGGCUCAACCUGGGAAUUGCGAUGAAGACUGCAAGGCUUGAAUCUGGCAGAGGGGGGUAGAAUUCCACGUGUAGCAGUGAAAUGCGUAGAGAUGUGGAGGAACACCGAUGGCGAAG